rnacentral:lncRNA from 1 species
UCAAAUAUUUAGUUUUACUCAUUAUAAUAUAUUUUUGUAAUUAUAAUUGUAAUGCCCAGCAUCUAUCUACAAAGGGGCAAACUGAUCAUUAACUAGAAUCCAAACAAUCCCUUAGUCAAUUCUCGAGCACCAAACACCUUGAAUUCCGGGCAUCUACAAUGCUAGAAACUGGGCUUAAGCCCAUAUGUUGUUUUAAUUCGUCUGGGCCUUUUCGCAAGAAGCUGGAAAGAAUACAGGAGGGUAAACAUGGAAGAAAACCUAAACAAUGGCAACAUCAAAGGCUUGGCAAGGCUGAAGUUUUUAACUCUCAUCAUUAGUUUAAGUAUGAGGCUGUGCUCUCGGAGAGAAGGGCGGUUGCCCCCUCUCUUUGAUUGUUUAGCGUAGCCGAUGAUUACUUCUAUACAUAAUCAACAGCCCUUCAUACACACAUUCAUACAUAUACAUGAACACACACUUCUGUCUCUGUCUCUCUCUCUCUACCUGCCUCUCUCUCUCUGAAACUGUGUGCAAAGGGGCGGUGAUGAUAUCUUCGCUGUGCAGAAAUCAGGCAGGAAGAGGACACCCUUCCGUUGGCAUGGUGAUUCUGAAUGGUUGCUGUGAAAUCUGAGGGAUAUUCCUGUCAUUUUGCAGCUCAUUCAUUGUUGCAGCCAAGAAGGGGUUUUCUUUUCUUGUCUGGUUGAGAAACACUUCUGAUCUGAGCCUCGUCGCUUACCUCCCUGAUUCUUUUUUGUUUUCUUUUCUGGGUCAAUAUGGAUUUAUCUUUAAUUUUAUUUCUUUUUCCUGCUAGAUCUGGACAACUUUUUUACUAAUUAUUAAUGGGUGUUGAACAGCCUAAUCCUCAAGCUGUGUCAUGAAUGAAAUUUUUUUGAGUUAUUUUUUAUUUAAUUAUAUAAUGAAAAAAAUAGUUACUAGUAAAAGCCGACCAAAUAUUAAAGGUCACCAAGAAAAAUCAAUAAAGAUUCAAUUGGAAAUGAUAAAAUUAGGGGAAAAUAAAUUAAAAAGAAGAAGAAGAAGAAGAAGCUCGGGCAUAGGGCAACUCAUGCUUCUGGACCUGGAUUUUUUCUUUUUCUUUUUAGUUCAAGGGACAUGUCUUUUGCCCUUUCAUUAAAAAAACACUUGUUGUUCCAGAUUUCAUCCAUCACAGGUUGCUGAAAAAAUGGAUAGCGACUCCAUGGAUAAAAAAACCAUUUUAACCUAUUUUUUCUUUAAAAGCAUCAAAAACCCACCUCAAAUCCAGCUUUGAGUAAUCAAUCUUCCGAGUUAACUCAUCACACUAAGUUUUAAUUAUUAACAUAAACUAUUAAGAAAUGGAAUUCAGUGUUCCUCUCCUUGCAUAGUAAUUUAUUCACAUGAACAGUGAUUUGUUUUUCUCAAAAGAAUUUAUUUAAAAAAAAUUAUCAUAGGUUAUUUUCAAUAUUUAAUUAAUUUUAAAUUGGGUUUUAUAAUUUUUAAUUUUCUACAAAGUUAUUUUUAUCUCAGGUUAUAGGUUGACUUAGAUUAGUUUUUUUUAUCUUUUUUUUAAUUAUUUUUUCUUUUAAUUUUAUUUUUUAAUAUUGUAUUGAUUGGAAAUUAGACAUUACAAUUUUCUUGAAUUUACUUUCUACGGGGUUAUUCUAGUUAUAUCAUCCAGGUUGCAGGCUUGGCACGUUAACUCGAGCUGUUUGUUUUUUGGUUCAUUUUCAAAAUGAUUUUUAUUUUAUUUUUAUCAUUUAAUUUUGGAUUGAUUGAGAUUUGAGUUUCAUAAUUUAUUUUAAUUUAUUUUUUAUCGAGUUAUCCUGAUUUAAUGAUUUGGAUCGCGGAUUUGGCUGGUUGACAUCUAAUAUAUUUCCAACUUAAUAUCUAAAAAAAAUAUCAUCUUGGAAUAUUUUUUAUUCAAAAAAGUUUUUAUUGGUUGUCCGUAUUUUUUUAUUCAUCAAGUUAAUCGGAUCAUAUUAUAUCAACCCAAGUAUAAUUUAAUUUUUUUAACUAAAAAAUAUGUUAGUCCAAAUCUUCUAGUUAUAUUUAAAACUAUUGGGAUAUAUUUAAAAUUACAAGAAUGUUUAAAAGAGUAAUAGAUAUUUUUUAAAGUAAUUUUCGUUCAGAAAAAAUAUUAAAAUAAUAUUUUUUAUUUUUAAAAAUUUAUUUUUGAUAUUUUUAUAUUAAAAUAAUUUUAAAAAAUUAUUUUAAAAAAAAAUUAAAAAUUAAAACUCUCCUAGACACUCCUAAACACUCCUAUAUACCUAUAGGUGCUUCAAGAUCAUGCAUGGAGUGCACGUGGAUGACUCAACAGAGCUCAUCAAACCAUGGUUAAUAUUUAUUUUACCUGCGUACUUUCCAAAACACAUCCCGAACUUACAAUGACCAUAAUACCCUCUACCCCCUCUCCCUAUACUCAUCAAGCUUCUUGUCACCCGAAGGGCAAGCGUGGAAAGAAGGCGAAAAGGCAAAUCCUCCAUCAUCAUAGUUGACAGGAAUUACAGACGGGUAGAAGAAUGAGGCUUUGCUCUCAGAGAGGCUGGAAUGGUUUUUUGGCAGGGUUGUUGCCUCCCUCUCUGAAUGUCUGCGAAGCCAAUGACUUCAUCAUCUUGUAAAAUAUCAACAGCCCUGUCUGUGCACGCACUGUAUCUCUCGGUGACUGCUAAAAAUCACUGUUUAUUGUUGGGUUUGGCCUGCUAAAUAAGAUCCCUGUCAUCGUCAUCGUCAUCGAUCUCAAUUGUUCGUUUCCUGUUUCUCUUCUUCUUCUUCUUCUCUUCUCUGGGGCUGUGAUGAUAUUUUCAGGUGAAAAGAAUCAGUUAUUUUAAGGAACCUUGCAAUUACAUGGCGGGGCGAUUCAGGGCUUCUGUGAUGAAAUGACUGUUGUUCGUUUCUCGCAGUGAGCAUUUUUUAUUGCAGCCAUGGAUGGUUGUUGCUAUGUGUUCCUUUUAAUAACUAACAAAUGACGAAUCUGAGCCUCACUAAUUAAGGAUUCUUUACUUUUAAUUAAGAUUGGGAACUGAUUGUCUCGGUAGUUUGAAAACAUCCUUGCAUGUUUGGCAAAUGAUAUCUUUGAAUUUACUAAAAUUCUUUUCACAGAUGAAUCAAAAGGAAUGAUCUUGAGGUUUGUAUGGAAAAUGUGAUUCUUUGAUAAUUUUCUUAAUUGAAACUGACUCAAGGGUCAGAUUGAUAAUCUAGUUAUAUAUUAGGGAUUUAAUCAAGAUGCAAAAUAGAUUAGGGAUUUGAGGAGUUUUAUACCAAAAAAGAUUGGAGUUUUUGGUGAUGGUGGCUGAGUUUUUAUACAGGAAUUUAGACUAGCGAAGUGGUCUGAGAAACAUCAAAUCUAGGAUGACGUGUUAGAGAAAAAAAAAGAUUAGCCCCCACUCGCGCUAAGAUGCGGGGCUAGUUUUUUAUAUAUAUAUAAUGCCCCAUGUAAUAAAUGCGUUUUAAAGAAGUAAGAUAAACCUGUUAUUCAAAAUUAUAGAUAAAUAAAUUGAUUUUAUUUUAAUUAUAUAAUCAAAAAAUAAAUAAUAAUAGUAGAUUGAUCAAUUUUUUUAAAACAAAUCACUAUAAAAAGAGAAAAAAACUAAAAAAAAGUAAAUGACGUAGCUUAGCCUAUUAAAUAUAAAUUUGGAUAAAAAAAAAUCCAUCUAAGUAAAUUUGACUUAGCAUAACAAUUAUGUAAUUUAAGUAAUGAAGAUUGAGUCAAUUCGGAUUAUCAUGUCAAACUUACAAUCCAAGUAAUAAGAUAAUAAUAAUUUAAUAGAAAAGAAAACAAUGAAAUCACAAAGCUCAAUAAAAAAAUAAUAACGUUAACCUACGUUAACUUUUCAAAUAUGUGACUCACGUCAUUAAACUAGAAGUACCCUGACCGGAAGAACAAUAAAACUCAAUUCUCAAUCAAUCAAAUAUUAAAAAGAUUAAAUUGAACAAAUAAUUUCAAUUAUACAUUAGAAUUAAAAAAAAUAGCAAUUAAAAUAAUACAUAUCAAAAUUGAAAUAUAAAAUAAAUUUGAUUGAAGAUUGAAGAUUAAAAUUUUUUUAAAAAAAAUAUUUAACAAAAUAAUCAAAAAAUCAAAAUAAUGUGGAUUGUAAUUGAAAAAUCAAAAUUAUACAGAUAAUUUUUUGUUUUGAAAGGUGAAUUUGAAAAGAAAAAUCAAUUUAACAAAAAGGUUUUAAAAAACAAAAAAAUCAGGAAUGAAAUUGAAAAAAAUAUAUAGUACAAAUUAGAAUUGAAAGAUGAGAUUGAAAACAAAUAAAAUAUUACUAUUUCAAUUUGAAUUUGUGUCUAUAGUGUUUUUCAAAGAACAAUUAGCUUUUGCUAAUGAAACUAAACAACAUAAAUAUUAUUAUUUUGUUUUAUUUUAUGUUAAAUAAUAACAAUACUAAAAGGGAUUAGGGUUUUAUUGUAUAUACAAACUCAAGUUAAAAUGGAUUUUAACAAUGAAAUUAUCAUUUCAUCCUUGUCAAUAACCUUGGUCUUAGGGAUAAAUAGGUGUUUUCGUAAGGGUUUAUUUAUCAUUGUCAAAUUAAUCAGGGACAAAACGAUCUUUUCACAUAUUUGAGCACAAUAAAAUAACUUAAUUAUCUUCAAGAGUAAAAAAAAAUAUUAAGCUAGUGUCCACGGGUGUUUUCAUCCUCUGAUUUUUCAGCAUAGUAAAAUGUCAUCAAUAUCUUUUAAAAAAAUUACUCAACUUCCUUUAAGAGUUUUUUCAAAAAACAUUUUGCUCACUACUACUCAUGAGAUGUUUGGAAAUGUGGUAGUGGUGGCUUUUCAAAAUAUUUUUACUCGGAAAUAUAUUAAAAUAAUAUUUUUUUAUUUCUUAAAAUUUAUUUUGGUAUCAGCACAUCAAAAACAUAUAAAAAAACUUGAAAAUCUAAAAAAAAAAUAAUUAAAUUAAAAUUUACUCAAUCUCUAUUUAGACCGGGGCAUAAAAGAAAGGCAUCAAAGGAAUAAAACUAUAAAAGAAUAAACAGUUCUGCAAACGAAAAAGAAUAUAUACAACGGUAAUCUUUCUUUGAUCCAACUUCAGUGCAGAAAUCUCUAGCUUUUACUGAGCUCCACGCCUCAUUGGUUCGGUAAAAAAACUAAAUGCUAAAUUGAACUUGAACUUGAGGCAACUGAAUCAGCUAAGAUACAAAAAAGGGUAUGGGUCUAUGGGAUAUUGGUUCUUACUAGUUUGCUCUACGCUAGCUCGAUGGUUGGAUUAAUUUUUUUUAUUAUUAAAAAAAUACAAGAUUAUUAAAUUGAUUUGAGUUAAUCCAAAUUAACAUGUUAUACUUAUAAUUUAUUUUAUAGACUCAAUAAGGUCUCGUGAUAUUUAAAAAAAAGUUAUAUGAUUAAAAAAUAUAAAAAUUAAUUAAAAAAAUCAACAAAAACUUAAUAUUAAAGAUUGAAAUUAGAAUAUAUAUACAACUCGCAUGUUUUUAAUUAUUAAUUUGAUAGCACGUAUAUAUUAGGUUGUGUGUUUUGUUGUUACCAUUUUUUAAGGAAAACUAAAAAUAAAUCUAGAUUAGCAAUUCAAAUAUCUAAUUUUUUUUAAAUAAACUUCUUUGUGCUUAUAUAUCCAUAUUUUCUCUUAUAUGUUAUAUUUGUUUUAUAUAAAAAUGUCCCUUUAAUUACCAAAAUAAAAAUUAUUCUUCAAGAAAAACAUAAAAAAAUAAGAAACUUUAAAAUUUUAUUAAAAACUAAAACAAAAGGCCAAAUAUUAUUUAUUUUUUCUAGUCCUUUUAUUUUUGAAAAAAAAUAAAGAUGACGGGUCGUCUGCUGUUCAUAAUCUGCCCACCACAUAGAUAACUAGAAAAUCAAGGAAUAUGUUUUAUAGGUUAAAAAUUCAAUUUUAAAGCCGAUUUCACCUAAAAUCAUUGCAAAAACACCAUGAAACCCUGUCUAAAUUACCUAAUAACCCUAAAAAACCUAAAAAUUAGUUAAAAAAGUUUCAACCGAAUAAAAAAAAUCUAAAUCGAACUCGAUUUUUUUUUUAUGUUUAAGAAAAAAAACCAUCAUCACUAAACUUUUCUCGUUAAAUGAAACUUGUGAAUACCAAAAACGGACCAACAACUUUCUCCAUCCUACUUGUUUUCAAGCAACUUUCUCGCUCAUUUCUCUAAAUCCAAUAUUGAAAUUCAAAGAAAAUGAAUUUUUGGGUAGAAAUUAAUAAAAAAAACUAAGGACUAUAGAGAAAAGUAAGAGGAGAAAAAAAAACUUUUUACAUGAAUUUUAGAUUUACCAUGUUUUUUCUCAUUGUUUUACUUCUUGCUCUUUGAUAUUUAAAUUAGGUACAUAAGGCUAUUUUUGAAAGAAAAAAAAACAAUAGAGGUCAUAAAAAAAAAUUACUAUAAACUGCUAUAAUGUCUUACCAUGUUUAUUUUAAAAGCUGUUUACUUUUGCAUUUCAAAAGUGUUAUUGAAAAAAAUUGAAUUUUUUUUAUUUGUUUCAAAUUAAAUUUUGAUAUUUUCAUAUCAUUUUGAUGUGCUAAUAUAAAAAAAAUUAAAAAUUAAAAAUAUAUAUUAUUUUAAUAUAUUUUUAAACAAAAUAUAUUUUAAAAAACAAUAAUUACCAUCACCUGAAUUCCAGGCACCAACAAUGCUAGCAACUGGGUUUAAGCCCAUAUGUUAUUUCAAUUCGUCCGGGCCUUUUAAUGAAGUUACAAGGUAAGGAAUACAGGAGGGUAAAAAUGGAAGAAAGCCUAAACAAUGACAACAUAAAUGGACUACCAAAGCAAACGUUUUCAGCUCUCCUUAUUAGGGAGUGAUUCUUCAGUACUGUGGUAGCUUUGGUUUGAAAGUACGAGGCUGUGCUCUCAAAGAGAGACGGAAGGUAUCAGAGGGCGGUUGCCCCCUCUCUUUGGUUGUUUAGCGUAGCCGAUGAUUACUUCUAUACAUAAUCAACAGCCCUUCACACAUACAUGUAUAUAUAUAUAUUCACAUCUCUCUCUCUCUCUCUCACUCUCUCUCUGAAACUGUAUGCAAAGGGGCGGUGAUGAUAUCUUCGCUGUGCAAAAAUCAGGCAGGAAGAGGAACACCCUUCCGUUGGCAUGGUGAUUCUGAAUGGUUGCUGUGAAAUUUGAGGGAUAUUCCUGUCAUUUUGCAGCUCAUUCAUUGCUGCAGCCAAGAAGGGGUUUUCUUUUCUUGUCUGGUUGAGAAACACUUCUGAUCUGAGCCUCGUCGCUUACCUCUCUGAUUCUUUUUUGUUUUAUUUUCUGGGUCAAUAUGGGAUUUAUCUUUAAUUUUACUUCUUUUAUCUGCUAGAUCUGGAUAACUUUUUUUUCGAAUUAUUAAUGGGUGUGUGUAUAUGCAUUCCACCUUGUAGAUCUAAAUUUGUCUUCUGAAUUAGCGCCCACUCUUCUGUUUGAUAAAUAUGAGGAGGAAGUUUGGGGAAAAAUUCGUAAAACGAUCAUUCGAAUAAUAAUGGGUCGUGCUUGAAUUUGCACUUGAAGACUUGCAAGGAGAGAUUUAUUUAAUGAAAUGAAGCGUUUGUGUCGUGCCCUUCCUUUGCUGUGCUUUAGAGAGUGGAAGAAGACGGAGGUCUGUAUGUGGGAGGCAAAUGAUGAGAGACAUGGGAAGCCCUGCGAGUUCAAAGGAUUGUAAUUGCUUAUUUUCUAGAUAGUGGUCGGAUUGCAAAAUUUUUAAACAUGAAAAAUAUUCAAGAGUUUAUGACAUUUUGCUAUUAGGAAAAAGAUUUUUUUGCAAGGCAUAAUUUAAUUAAAAAAAUUCAAGAUAAUAUUUUAAAAAUAUUGCAUAUUGAACAAAGGUUUAUUUUUUUUUUAUUAAAUCUAUAUUCAAGUCAU